UUAAUUUUACCAACAGAAAUAUCACAUUUUCUCUACAAUAUAUUGAAUAUUACAAGUUUUCUAAAACACAACGUGCAUGCCGCAUGCAUAAAGUUGCGACGUGAAAGGUGCUUUUUGUAGUUUGACUUUACUGGGUUCUUAUAUUAGUCGUGGGUAUUUGAAUCAGGUGCACGUUUUUCUUUCCUGGCCCUUGAACUAAAAAACAAAUAAUUAAUCUGACACCAAAAAGUGAUGCAAAUUAAUAGUCAUUUAUCUGAAAUAUACUAAACCUACUGGAUGUGUGCAAGAACAAAUUAGUUCCUAAAGUGCAUUUAAGAUUAGUAAAUAAAUAAUGCAUGCAUAAGUGGAAGAAUAGUGGCGGCUUUAAAAAGACUUAAUUUUUAUACGAAAAUAGACCACGAAUUAAGUGAUUAACAAUUAACAAUUAAAGUUAUGGCGCCGUCCCGCACGAUAUGCGGCAAGAUGUUCUCGACACGAAGAAUUUGUGCGAUUCAUGAAGUCACGGUGUGCAACAUGUCACCGGAGAAUGAAAAGAUAACAAAACUUGGAGUGAAGUUCAAAUCUUGUGGGUUUACUGGGUGCAAAAAGCUGUUUUAUCAGUGCAGCGAGACAGAGUUGGAAAGGCACGAGGCCAAGCAUAAGGUGAAACAGGGCCCGGUAAUUGGAUGGUCGUCGCUUGCUAAUCAACAAUUUCCCUGCGCCAAAUGUGGAAAAAGAUUUGCACUCAAGUUUACACGUCAGCGGCAUGAAAAGAGUUGCAACAAGAUAAUGGUGCUCGAUUAAUGGGACUGGUUAUGCAGUUAUUUGAGCUUAUGGGGAAAGAUUUAGGGGAACGUUGCAAAAAAUAUUUUUAUGGUAAAAGUAGAAUUAUUAGAAAUAGAUAGCUAAGACUAGUUGAGUUUCUGAAAAUGUUUAGUUUUUAGAGAAAAAUCGUUGGAUCUGCCUUAAUAAUUUAUUGCUAAAUGGUAGCGUUGACAAAAACUUGUUUACUUUUACUCGCAAAGAUGAUGACAUUUUAAUGUGUAGUUUUAUAUUUUAUAUGAAAUUGCAUACCACAUACACUUAUUUUGGAUCCAUCAUCAAUCUAAUGUUUAGAAAAUUUGUGUAAAUUUUAGAAAACUUGUUAAAGUUGUAAAAUUGACCUGCUCAAAAGUUGAAAUGUGCUUAAUUUUAGGUAAUUGGCAAUCAUAGUUAUACAUAUGCGUAUGUAUGCAAUGUACGCUAACUUUAUUAUGGAGAAGUGGGAUAAAUAUUUACUUAACGUUGCACGUUUCUAAGAGCUUAUCGUUAGUAAUUACACAAUUUAUAUAUGUAUGACUUGAUAAAGAAAUGUUGAUGUAUUUUGCAAAUAAUCAGGUUUUGGACAAUACAGACGUCCUUAAAGAACUGGA